AUUGAACGCUGGCGGCAGGCCUAACACAUGCAAGUCGAGCGGAUGAAGGGAGCUUGCUCCUGGAUUCAGCGGCGGACGGGUGAGUAAUGCCUAGGAAUCUGCCUGGUAGUGGGGGAUAACGUCCGGAAACGGGCGCUAAUACCGCAUACGUCCUGAGGGAGAAAGUGGGAGGUCUUCGGACCUCACGCUAUCAGAUGAGCCUAGGUCGGAUUAGCUAGUUGGUGGGGUAAAGGCCUACCAAGGCGACGAUCCGUAACUGGUCUGAGAGGAUGAUCAGUCACACUGGAACUGAGACACGGUCCAGACUCCUACGGGAGGCAGCAGUGGGGAAUAUUGGACAAUGGGCGAAAGCCUGAUCCAGCCAUGCCGCGUGUGUGAAGAAGGUCUUCGGAUUGUAAAGCACUUUAAGUUGGGAGGAAGGGCAGUAAGUUAAUACCUUGCUGUUUUGACGUUACCAACAGAAUAAGCACCGGCUAACUUCGUG
rnacentral:rRNA from 1 species